rfam:Pichia kudriavzevii strain SD108 scaffold00057, whole genome shotgun sequence.
UGAGUCGUAGACUAAUAGGUAAGUCACUUGCAUUUGGGGCAAGCUAAUAAUAGUUCGAAUCUAUUCGAUUCAA